rnacentral:misc_RNA from 1 species
GAAAUGCGAUACUUGGUGUGAAUUGCAGAAUCCCGUGAACCAUCGAGUCUUUGAACGCAAGUUGCGCCCGAAGCCAAUCGGUUGAGGGCACGUUUGCCGGGGCAUCUCACGUUGCGUCGCCCGCGCCCCCUUGAAAGAAGGGCUGCGGGCAGAUGAUGGGCCCCCGCGCGCGCCCCCCUGCGCGCCCGCGCACGGUCGGCCCAAAAGCGAGUCCCCUGUGACGGACGACACGUCGCGACGAGUUGUGGUUGACAAACAAUUGCGUCGCCUAGCGCGCAUCCGGGCCGUCUCGGGAGGCCUGUCGUGACCCUAUUGCGCCGCCGCCAUGGCACUCCGAUCGCGACCCCAGGUCAGGCGGGAUUACCCGCUGAGUUUAA